rnacentral:rRNA from 1 species
UACAUGGGGUGCAAACGUUGCUCGGAAUCAUUGGGCGUAAAGCGCGCGUAGGCGGUUACUUAAGUCGAAUGUGAAAGCCCUCGGCUUAACUGAGGAAGUGCAUCCGAAACUGAGUAGCUAGAGUACGAAAGAGGGUCGCGGAAUUCCCGGUGUAGAGGUGAAAUUCGUAGAUAUCGGGAGGAACACCGGUGGCGAAGGCGGCGACCCGGGUCGAGACUGACGCUGAGGCGCGAAAGCGUGGGGAGCAAACGGG